UGUAAUCCCAGCACUUUGGGAGGCCGAGACGGGCAGAUCACUUGAGCCCAGGAGUUGGAGACCAGACUGACCAGCAUGGUGAAACCGUCUCUACAAAAAAUCAGACAGGCUUGGUGGCGGGCGCCUGUAGUCCCAGCUGCCGGUACUCAGGAGACAGCCGGGAAGCGAAGGUUGCAGCGAGCCGAGACUGCGGCCCUGCACCCCAGCCUGGGCAAAAUGGUCACCGCUUCUCUACAAAAUACUAGCUGGGCAUGGUGGCACGUGCCCGCGGUUGCGGCUACUGGGGAGGCUGAGGUCGCCCGCCCGACCGGUAAGCAGAGGUUCCAGUAAGCUAAGAUCGCGCCACUCAACUCCAGCCUGGGCGACAGAGUGAGAUCCUAUCUCAGAAAGAAAGAAAGAAAAAUAGAGUUUAAAAAUAAACUGACCUGGCGGCGGUGGCUCAUGCUUGUAAUCCCAGCACCUUCUUCAGAGGUUGACGUGGCGAAUUGCUUGAGCCCAGGAGUUCAAGACCAGCCUGUGGAAAAUGGCGACCUGGCUCUCUACAAAAAAUUCGCUGGGCGUGGUCUGCGCACCAGUGGUCCCAGCUAUUGGGGAGGCUGAGGGUGGCUGAAACAACAAAAAUGUAACGUCUUACAGAUCUGAAGGCUUCCGGGUCGAUUCUGGACUGUGAUGAGAGCCUGUGCCAUGCCUCUCUCCUGGCUUCUGGUAGACUCGGGCAUUCCUUAGCUUGUAAAUGGCUGCUGCUUGUGUCAUCACAUUGUCUAACCUUUCUACUUAUCUGUCCCCAUGCCCCAAUUUUUCCUUUUCAGGACACCAGUCAGAUUAGGACCCACCCUAAUGAUCGCAUCUUAACUUGAUUAACUACAAGGACCCUAUUUUUAAGUAAGUCCACAUUUACAGAGACUGGGGGGUAGGACUUCAACAUCUUUUUGGAGGGAUGCAGUUCAACCCAUAACAAGAAUCAUUGUUAGAAAUGAUUUUGCUUCUUCACUGAAAAAUUAAUAUCAUUCUGCAGAGAACUGACUUGCUGCACAUGGCACAGAUUUUUUGCAUUUAUCGUAGUAAAAGAAAUCAGUCACAAAAGCUUGUUUUAGACUGCUAUAUACCUAUCCCAAAUACAAAUUAUUUCCAACAUUAAAAGUUAAUAAAGCAAGCACUGUCACCCAAA